GUGAAUCAUCGAAUUUUUGAACGCAAAUUGCACUCUCCGGUUUUCCGGGAGAGUAUGCCUGUUUGAGGGCCAGCCUAAAAAAAAUCGACAUUGUUGGGGUUUUAUGGUGACUUUCGGCGGAGAGGGGUGAUCUUAAAUCUCGGUUUAAGCGACUUAAAAUUUUUUUUUAUGAUUCUAAGAAUGUUUCUAAGAAUUUUCUUGUACGUUUAAGGUAGAGAAUGUCUUAUUAGACGUGGCCGCUAUAGCGGUAUG
rnacentral:misc_RNA from 1 species